rnacentral:rRNA from 1 species
UACGUAGGGUGCGAGCGUUGUCCGGAAUCAUUGGGCGUAAAGCGCACGUAGGCGGUUCGUUAUGUCGGAUGUGAAAGCCCUUGGCUUAACCGAGGAAGUGCAUCCGAAACUGGCGAGCUAGAGUACGAAAGAGGAUCGCGGAAUUCCCGGUGUAGAGGUGAAAUUCGUAGAUAUCGGGAGGAACACCGGUGGCGAAGGCGGCGAUCUGGGUCGAUACUGACGCUGAGGUGCGAAAGCGUGGGGAGCAAACAGG